AACAGGGGGAGCUUGCUGCAAGCAGGCUGAGAGUGGGCUGCAUCGCCCAGACCCGGAACCUGAUUUGGAUAAUGCCAACGUAGGGAGAUA
rnacentral:ncRNA from 1 species